rnacentral:rRNA from 1 species
GAUGAACGCUGGCGGCAUGCCUAACACAUGCAAGUCGAACUGGAAGUGGUUUUUCCGGUGGCGAACGGGUGAGUAACGCGUAAGAACCUGCCCUUGGGAGGGGGACAACGGUUGGAAACAACUGCUAAUACCCAGUAUACGCUGAGGAGUAAAAGGAGGAAUCCGCCCAAGGAGGGGCUGGCGUCUGAUUAGCUAGUUGGUGAGGCACUAACUUACCAAGGCGACGAUCAGUAGCUGGUCCGAGAGGAUGAUCAGCCACACUGGGACUGAGACACUGGCCGGGCACCUACGGGGGGCAGCAGUGAGGAGUUUUCCCCAAUGGGCGAAAGCCUGACAGAGCAAUGCCGCGUAAAGGUCGGGGAUCUUUUGGUUGUAAUCUUCUUUUCCCGGAGAAAAAGCAAUGACGGUAUCCGGGGAAUAAGCAUCGGCUAACUCUGUGCCAGCCGCCGCGGUAACAC